rnacentral:rRNA from 1 species
UUUUGGACAAUGGGCGCAAGCCUGAUCCAGCCAUUCCGCGUGAGUGAAGAAGGCCUUCGGGUUGUAAAGCUCUUUCGCAAGGGAAGCCAACUUACUUUCUAAUAAAGAGUGAGGUUGACGGUACCUUGAUAAGAAGCACCGGCUAACUACGUGCCAGCAGCCGCGGUAAUACGUAGGGUGCGAGCGUUAAUCGGAAUUACUGGGCGUAAAGCGUGCGCAGGCGGCUUUGUAAGUCAGAUGUGAAAUCCCCGAGCUCAACUUGGGAACUGCGUUUGAAACUACAAGGCUAGAAUAUGUCAGAGGGGGGUAGAAUUCCACGUGUAGCAGUGAAAUGCGUAGAGAUGUGGAGGAAUACCAAUGGCGAAGGCAGCCCCCUGGGAUAAUAUUGACGCUCAUGCACGAA